rnacentral:rRNA from 1 species
AGAGCGAACGCUGGCGGCAGGCCUAAUACAUGCAAGUCGAACGGAUCCUUCGGGAUUAGUGGCGGACGGGUGAGUAACACGUGGGAACGUACCCUUUGGUUCGGAACAACUCAGGGAAACUUGAGCUAAUACCGAAUGUGCCCUUCGGGGAAAAGAUUUAUCGCCAUUGGAGCGGCCCGCGUCUGAUUAGCUAGUUGGUAGGGUAAAGGCCUACCAAGGCUACGAUCAGUAGCUGGUCUGAGAGGAUGAUCAGCCACACUGGGACUGAGACACGGCCCAGACUCCUACGGGAGGCAGCAGUAGGGAAUCUUGCGCAAUGGGCGAAAGCCUGACGCAGCCAUGCCGCGUGAAUGAUGAAGGUCUUAGGAUUGUAAAAUUCUUUCAGCGGGGACGAUAAUGACGGUACCGCAGAAGAACGCCCGGCUAACUUCGUGCCAGCAGCCGC